GGGCAAUAGGUCCCCCCUUCAGGUUAGAAGCCCACACUCGUGCGGCACGGGUGGGUGCUUGGGAGGGGGGGAGGUUUUGUUUUGGUUUUUUUUUAACCGUGAGCAGCCAUAGGCACUUCGACACGCUGGAAUUUCAGUAAUUUCGGAACUUUGGGACUUCGGCAAUUCAUCUAUUCGGACAUUCGGAAGUACCCGAAUGUCCGAAUAGACUGAAAUUUGUCUGAAUUCACAUUCGGACCGAAACAAAUUGCACAUGUCUACUAGCAGACACAGGAGACGAGAUAAGGAGGAGGACCUUCUCUGCCUAAUGGGACAUCCGGCAUCCGACUCUGAGGAUACUGCUGGAUUUUAUGCCAGAUUAUAUCUUUGGAAAAUGGACAUAUAUAUUUGCACAAACACAUAUACACAUUUGCAAACAUGGAUUCAGAGACAAACAUCUACAUCUACACUCACACGUAUUUCUACAUAUGCCACAACUCAGAUACUUAUGCAAUGCUUUGUAGACAUAUAGAAUGGUCAAAUAAACAGUCAAGUAGUUCAGUUAAUUAAUUGCUGUGAAAUUAAAAUCAAAGUUGAGAAAUGUACACCAAAUAGUCUUUUUUUUUUUUUUUUUUAGCUAUGCAAAGGUGUAAAAGGACCCUGUAUUUUAAUCCAUUAAAAGAUGCAAAAUAAAUGAAUAAAGAUGCUAACCUAACCUUACAAGAUACCGAAACUACAUAGUUUAGAUAAGCCUCUAUCAGGACAUAUCCAUCAGCUGCAGUUCCACUCAUAAUACAGUGGUAUGGCUGCUAUAUAACUUAAUGGCAGCCAUUCCUUUGUUUGUUUGAGACUGCCCUGACCAUGAAUGUGUGCAGCCGCUUAC